rnacentral:rRNA from 1 species
GACGGGACCCGCACAAGCGUGGAUCAUGUUGUUAAUUCGAUGAUACGCGAAGAACCUUACCAGGUCUUGACAUCCCUGACAACCGAGAGAUCGGCGUUCCCCUUCGGGGGACAGGGUGACAGGUGGUGCAUGGUUGUCGUCAGCUCGUGUCGUGAGAUGUUGGGUUAAGUCCCGCAACGAGCGCAACCCUCGACCUUAGUUGCCAGCAUUCAGUUGGGCACUCUAAGGUGACUGCCGGCUAAAAGUCGGAGGAAGGUGGGGAUGACGUCAAAUCAUCACGCCCCUUAUGACCUGGGCUACACACGUGCUACAAUGGGCGGUACAAAGGGUCGCGAACCCGCGAGGGGGAGCCAAUCCCAAAAAGCCGCUCUCAGUUCGGAUUGCAGGCUGCAACUCGCCUGCAUGAAGCCGGAAUCGCUAGUAAUCGCGGAUCAGCAUGCCGCGGUGAAUACGUUCCCGGGCCUU